AUGCAGUCCUGGGCGCAAGGAGAAGCCAACGGACCCAGUGGAGUGGACAGUCAUGGAUGUGGUGGAAUACUUCACUGAGGCAGGCUUCCCAGAGCAGGCCACUGCUUUCCAAGAGCAGGAAAUUGAUGGCAAGUCUUUGUUGCUCAUGCAACGGACAGAUGUGCUCACUGGCCUGUCCAUCCGCCUGGGCCCAGCCCUGAAGAUCUACGAGCACCACAUCAAGGUGCUUCAGCAAGGCCACUUUGAGGACGAUGAUCCUGAUGGCUUUCUAGGCUGAGCACCCAGCCUUGCCCCCACCCCAGCCAGUCCAGAUUUCACCCAUGGCAGCCCCAUAGUCCAGGAGCUGGAUAUGGGUACGCUCAACCUUCCUAACAGACUCCAGUGAGGGGAUUCCCUUCUCCAUUUUCCCCCUUUUCUCACACCCCUGACCUUAGUUCACCCCUCUCCACAGCAGUGGAGUGUGGGGUCGGACGACUUGGCUGGCUCAUUUGCCAGGGGUCACCCUUUCUCCCCAAACCAGGACAUUUUUGAACAACAAAAACCAGGGGAGCUUCCUGUGGCCCCAAACCCCUCUUCAGUUCAGCCAGAUGUAUCUUAUAUGUGUUUUGUUCUACCUAUUCAUCCUGGUGGUGGUUUUUCCUCGUCCCACCACCCCCAGACCCUCCCCCUUGACCCCCAGCUUCUGGGGAACAGGUGAGGUAAAGGACCUUGGGUCCUCUAGCUCCUUCCCUUUCUGUCUGUCGACUGUUCCACCUGGCUGUAUUGCUUUUUAAUAUUGCACCGAAGGUUUUUUAAAUAAAACUUAAAAAAAAAAAAAAAAAA
rnacentral:lncRNA from 1 species